GCUGGCGGGCGGCCGUGACACUGGUGGAGUCCGGCGGUGGCCUCCAGCCCCCCGGGGGGUCCCUGACCCUCGUUUGCAAGGCCUCAGGCUUCAGUAUUGGGAACUAUUACAUGCAGUGGGUGCGACAGGCGCCUGGGAAGGGCCUGGAGUGGGUCGCAUAUAUUAAUUAUGAUAGUGCUUACACCUACUACGCGCCGGGGGUCAAGGGGCACUUCACCAUCUCCAGGGACAACUCCCAGAGCACGGUGACGCUGCGGAUGAGCGGCCUCAAGGCCGACGACACGGCCACCUACUACUGCGCCAAAGGUGUUUAUAGUGGUGGUGCUGAUGGUGGGGACAUUUCCCGGGCCAUUUUCCCCAAAUCCUGA